AUGUCGGACUGUGAGCCGCUCGGGAAGAGCGCGAGGCUGCUGGGGUCCGAAUCCCCGCGUCACGGGACUGAAGAUGCAGAAAACCCGCAGAAAACAGCUGCUCCGUGCUCGGAUUCAUCUAAACUCCAGAAGAAGCGACCGAUGAGAGACCCCAGAUGCAGCCGGACUCUGGAUGACUGGCUGCUGAAGCCCGUGGUGGCCCAGAGAAGCUCUCAUCAGCAUCAGCAUCAGCAUGCCGAACCUGCGGGGUCCGAGCAGAACUCACGGAAGCAGGAGUGUCCGGAGAGCCCGGUAACCUCGGAGAAACCCAGACGAACCGGUUCUGCUCUGGUCUCAGAUGCUGCCGCGAACACUGGGACGCGCCAGAUCACAAGCUUCUUCACUGAAGCUCCAGGGAAAGCCGCGUGCAGAAGGUGAGCAACGCAAAAUGUUUUAUUAGAAAACAGAUGCGUCCAUCCUGCUGCUGUGACGGUGAAUGCGCAUGCGCUUAACGCGAAUCGGGUGUGGCCACAGGCACGUUACGUAAUUAAUAUUCAUGAGCCAUGACGAGCCCCGAGCCGCUAAAAAGCCACAUUUGCAUGUAUAUAUAGUUUUAGGCCUAAUAAUUAUACUUUUAUGAUAACAAUGCUAGAGUGACUGUGGUUUGUGGAAAAUUUAGUUUUUAAUCUUUGCUAUUUCUGUAUCCGUGGACCGUGGCAACUAUUAAAAGAUUCAGACUUUGAUACAAAAGUGUCCUCUAAACUUUUAAACGUCCUGGAAAUGUAGUCCCCUGCUGUUCAGCGUUAAUAUGGGCGGAACGUGACUGAUCUCAGAUCUGCUCUGAUGCGGAAAGUGGAAGUGAGGAAAACGAAAGUGAUUUCUGACCCUCUGAAACGCUGGUUCGUUACCGAGCGGACUGUGUUGUGUUCGGAGAGGUUCGAGUGAAUGGAUGUGGAUCAGAGCUCGCACCUGCUUCACCUGCCGCUCGCGCUCCUGAGAGCCGCUGCGGUUCGUAUCUAUUAUACAAUCUAUAGAUGCGAGAGCAGUACAAUAUAAUGCACAUAUUAGUCUCUAUAGCCCUUUCAGAUUCAGCGUUAGUGUAAGAUCUGGUCAGGAUGACUGUGCUGAUGUUGUUGCAGAACAUGACUCAGUUCUGUGGGAUGACGAAGAUGCGUCUGUCCGCGUGGAGGAUCAAGUUCAGUCAGAGGAACAGCUCAGUUCUCAGAGGCUUUCGCAGAUCUUCAGCGUGAGUUAAAGCUGCUGUAGGCCAUUGCUAAUGUCAGGUAAUAUACCUGCCGGGUGUGACUGAGAAAGCACACCCAGAACCGCAGAACCAUACGUCAUGACAGUCUGAGGACAACAGCGCCAGACUAACAAUCUGAGGCCGGAA
rnacentral:lncRNA from 1 species